rnacentral:tRNA from 1 species
GCGUGUAUAGUUCAGUGGUAGAGUGUGUGCCUAGCAUAUACGAGGUCCUGGGUUCAAUCCCCAGUAGCU